rnacentral:rRNA from 1 species
UACGAAGGGGGCGAGCGUUGUUCGGAAUUACUGGGCGUAAAGCGUGCGCAGGCGGUUUUGUAAGUCUGUCGUGAAAUCCCCGGGCUCAACCUGGGAAUUGCGAUGGAGACUGCAAGGCUAGAAUCUGGCAGAGGGGGGUAGAAUUCCACGUGUAGCAGUGAAAUGCGUAGAGAUGUGGAGGAACACCGAUGGCGAAGGCAGCCCCCUGGGUCAAGAUUGACGCUCAUGCACGAAAGCGUGGGGAGCAAACAGG